rnacentral:rRNA from 1 species
UUAAAUUGAAGAGUUUGAUCAUGGCUCAGAUUGAACGCUGGCGGCAGGCCUAACACAUGCAAGUCGAACGGUAACAGGAAGCAGCUUGCUGCUUUGUUGACGAGUGGCGGACGGGUGAGUAAUGUCUGGGAAACUGCCUGAUGGAGGGGGAUAACUACUGGAAACGGUGGCUAAUACCGCAUAACGUCGCAAGACCAAAGAGGGGGACCUUCGGGCCUCUUGUCAUCAGAUGUGCCCAGAUGGGAUUAGCUUGUUGGUGAGGUAACGGCUCACCAAGGCGACGAUCCCUAGCUGGUCUGAGAGGAUGACCAGCCACACUGGAACUGAGACACGGUCCAGACUCCUACGGGAGGCAGCAGUGGGGAAUAUUGCACAAUGGGCGCAAGCCUGAUGCAGCCAUGCCGCGUGUAUGAAGAAGGCCUUCGGGUUGUAAAGUACUUUCAGCGGGGAGGAAGGUGUUGUGGUUAAUAACCGCAGCAAUUGACGUUACCCGCAGAAGAAGCACCGGCUAACUCCGUGCCAGCAGCCGCGGUAAUACGGAGGGUGCAAGCGUUAAUCGGAAUUACUGGGCGUAAAGCGCACGCAGGCGGUCUGUCAAGUCGGAUGUGAAAUCCCCGGGCUCAACCUGGGAACUGCAUUCGAAACUGGCAGGCUUGAGUCUUGUAGAGGGGGGUAGAAUUCCAGGUGUAGCGGUGAAAUGCGUAGAGAUCUGGAGGAAUACCGGUGGCGAAGGCGGCCCCCUGGACAAAGACUGACGCUCAGGUGCGAAAGCGUGGGGAGCAAACAGGAUUAGAUACCCUGGUAGUCCACGCCGUAAACGAUGUCUACUUGGAGGUUGUGCCCUUGAGGCGUGGCUUCCGGAGCUAACGCGUUAAGUAGACCGCCUGGGGAGUACGGCCGCAAGGUUAAAACUCAAAUGAAUUGACGGGGGCCCGCACAAGCGGUGGAGCAUGUGGUUUAAUUCGAUGCAACGCGAAGAACCUUACCUGGUCUUGACAUCCACAGAACUUUCCAGAGAUGGAUUGGUGCCUUCGGGAACUGUGAGACAGGUGCUGCAUGGCUGUCGUCAGCUCGUGUUGUGAAAUGUUGGGUUAAGUCCCGCAACGAGCGCAACCCUUAUCCUUUGUUGCCAGCGAUUAGGUCGGGAACUCAAAGGAGACUGCCAGUGAUAAACUGGAGGAAGGUGGGGAUGACGUCAAGUCAUCAUGGCCCUUACGACCAGGGCUACACACGUGCUACAAUGGCGCAUACAAAGAGAAGCGACCUCGCGAGAGCAAGCGGACCUCAUAAAGUGCGUCGUAGUCCGGAUUGGAGUCUGCAACUCGACUCCAUGAAGUCGGAAUCGCUAGUAAUCGUGGAUCAGAAUGCCACGGUGAAUACGUUCCCGGGCCUUGUACACACCGCCCGUCACACCAUGGGAGUGGGUUGCAAAAGAAGUAGGUAGCUUAACCUUCGGGAGGGCGCUUACCACUUUGUGAUUCAUGACUGGGGUGAAGUCGUAACAAGGUAACCGUAGGGGAACCUGCGGUUGGAUCACCUCCUUACCUGAAAGAAGC